rnacentral:rRNA from 1 species
CACCGCGGUUAUACGAAUGACCCAAGUUGACAGAUACUCGGCGUAAAACGUGGCUAAGCUACACACUCACAACUAAAGCCAAACACCUUCAAAGCUGUGAUACGCAAUCGAAGGCAGGAAGCCCCACCACGAAAGUGGCUUUACCUAAUCUGAGUCCACGAAAGCUAGGGGA